rnacentral:lncRNA from 1 species
UGGAAACAGAAGGUGGUCAGACCAUCAAAACAUCACACCUUCCUUGGCAUGGGCAGGGAUAUCAAGUUCAGGGUGGCUGUGAGGGCUGAGCUGGGGAUGCAGUUGCUGGAUACAUGUGCAGUGCCCACGGCACUUCCCAGCAUAACCAGAUGUCUGUAGUCCCAACCCCUGCCGGAGUAUCCAUUUCUGGUGAACCUGAGUAUUCACCCGAAUAUCUUCACCCGAAUAUCUUCAUAAAAAUAUCCUCCGAGAAAGUCCAUCAAUGUCAUUUGCAAUUAUAAAGGCAAGCUUCUGUAAUAAGUAAAGCCUGGAAAAUAUCUAUUUCAACAUUUUUUUGAGCUUCCCUUCCCUUCCUUUCCCUUCCCUUCCCUUCCCUUCCCUUCCCUUCCCUUCCCUUCCCUUCCCACCAUUCACAUUCAGCUGGAGCAGCUU